UUGUUGUUUGUUUGUUUGUUUUGUUUGUUUGUUUGUUUUUGUUUUUCAAGACAGGGUUCCUCUGUGGCUUUGGAGGCUGUCCUGGAACUCGCUCUGUAGACCAGGCUGGCCUCGAACUCACAGAGAUCCGCCUGCCUCUGCCUCCUGAGUGCUGGGAUUAAAGGUGUGCGCCACCAACGCCCGGCUACCAGCCCCCUUUUUUAAUGUUAUUUUUUUAAGAUUGAUAUUUUUUGUUAGUUUGUUUUUCAAGACAGGGUUCCUCUGUAGCUUUGGAAGGUGUCCUGGAACUCGAUCAGUAGACCAGAACAGGCAGAACUACAUAGAGAAACCCUAUCUCAAAAUGCCCUGGCCAGCCUUAAGCUCACUGGGUUGUCCAGACUGACCUUGAAUUUUCCAUCCUUCUUCCAAAGGUGUGUGGCAACCAUGGUGGCCCACUUAGUCAAUUCUCCCCACCCCCAUGCAUUUAUUUACUUAUGUGUAGGUAUAUUUGUCUAUAUGAGUAUACAGGAAUAUGUAUGGUUGCAUGGAGGCCAAAAGAGUGCUUAACGUCCUCCUCUAUGGCUCUGUAUCUAUUCCUUGGAAACAAAGUCUCUCCCUGAACUUAGGGCUUCAGUUUUCUGGGCUAGCUGGAAGCCAAAAAACCCCAGCAGUACUCUGCUCUCUGUACCACCCAGGACAACCUCAAGGAGCUAGAGUUACAGCCAGGCACAGGACGGCCUCUAGCUUGGACACUGAGAUCCAAACUCCAGUCCUCAUUGUUGCAUACCAAGCACACUUUUUCUGUUUUGUUUUGUUUUGUUUUUUGAGACAGGGUUUCUCUGUGUAGCUUGAUCUAUAGACCAGGCUGGCCUCGAAAUCACAGAGAUCCGCCUGCCUCUGCCUCCUGAGUGCUGGGAUCAAAGGCUUGCGCCACCACCGCCUGGCAGCUACACCAAUCACUCUUAACUGCUAAGCUCUCUCUUUAGCCCAAAGACCCUUCUCAAAAAAUUACUUUUAUUGUAGGAGUGUUUUCCUGUGUAUGUAUGUAAGCUCAUUGUGUGCACGCCUGGUGGCCAGCAGAGGGUGAUAGAUGCUCUGGAAUUAGAGUCUAGAGCCUUGAUAACCUUCAUGUGGAUUCUGUGAAUCUAAUCUUGGUCCUCUGCAAGAUCAGCAAGCAUACUGGGCAUCCUUUCAGCUCCUUUAAGAUUUUCUUGCUGUUGUUUUGAGACAGGGUCUCACUAUGUAGACCAGGCUGACCUUCAACUCACAGAGGUCCAUGUACCUCUGUGCUGGGGUUCAGAGAGUACACCAAAAAACUUCUUUUAAAGAUUUAGUUACUAUGUAUACAGUGUUCUGCCUAAAUGCAUGCCUGCACACCAAAAGGGGCACCAGAUCUCAUUACAGAUCUUUGUGAAGCACCACGUGUUUGCUGAGAAUUAAACUCUUGACCUCUGGAAGAGCAGUCAAUGUUCUUAACCUGUGAGCCAUCUCUCCAGACAAAAAACUCUUACUCUCUAUCUCGAAUAACAGUUCUCAACCUGUGGGUAUCAACACCUUUGGGGGUCAAAUAACCCUUUCACAUGGGGUCACAUCACCUAAGACCAUCAGAAAACACAGGAAUUUACAUUAUGAUUCACAACAGUAGCAAAAUUAAAAUUAUGAACUAGCAACAAAAAUAAUGUUCUGGUUGGGGUCACCACAACACGAGGCACAGCAUCAGGAAGAUUGAGAACCACUGCUCUAGAGUAUCCUCUUUGUAAGAAAAUUUGUAGAGACCUGAUCUAUAUGCUGCCUCCUGAGACUUCCCAUGUGUUUCUUCGGGUGUAAUCUAGAAAACUGCUCUUCCACUGAGCCUAUUAUAUAGCCUAUUACAUUACAUCUGAACAGACCGAACACUACUCAGUGUGACAGAGCUAUUACAGAAAAUGGUCAACAUCUAAAGACCCUAAAAUAUUGUUCAAUUAGCACAAAUUUUCAACAUGCUCUACUCGCAGCCUGACUCUUGCCUCUGAGACCGCAGCAUUUGGCCAACAGUAAUCUCAACACUUCAUGGCAAAUGCUGUAACACAGACCUAGGGAACUAGGGCAAAGUGCAGGUUUUCAAAGUGACCUGUGAGCUGAGUGUUAAAAUGAUUUGUCUCCAGGUGGUUAAGACAUGCCUUUAAUCCCAGCACUCAGGGGUGUAAUACAGGCAGAUCUUUGUGAGUCUGAGGACAGCCUGAUCUACAAAGAGAGUUCCAGGUAAGCCAGCAUAAAACAAGACUUUCUCAAACAAAACAAUCCCACACAACAAAAGAAUUGAAAUCACAAUGGUGUUUGCUUCUGAAGGGUCUGUGCCUAAGCAUUCCUAAUCAUAAAGAAAAGCAAAGACAAGAAAAUCCUACUUUUUAAAACUUUAGCCCGUGUGCAAGCACAAGAGACUUUGCAGAAAGUGGAGCAGCGGUGAUGGAGUGGGAGUUCACCAAGUUGCCGGAAGCCAAACUCCCUCUGCUACAAUCCCUUCCUGAGAGAGCUACUGCCAAGCUGGUGAUGACAGAGGUGUCCAGUACACUGCCUCAGAGAAAGCCUGUGACGGCGAUUAUUUCUUCUGGGAAGAAAGUGGUUAAGAUGGGUGCUGGUGUCAGGCUUCUGGCUUUGAAUCUGCUAUUACCACUCAAUAUUGAUGCAGCCUUAGAUUAUAUAACCUUUAGCUGGGCAUGGUCGCCUUUGUCUUUAGUUCAAGACCAGUUUGAUCCUCAUAG
rnacentral:lncRNA from 1 species